CUGGCUCAGAUUGAACGCUGGCGGCAGGCCUAACACAUGCAAGUCGAGCGGUAACAUUUCUAGCUUGCUAGAAGAUGACGAGCGGCGGACGGGUGAGUAAUGCUUGGGAACGUGCCGUAAGGUGGGGGACAACCAUUGGAAACGAUGGCUAAUACCGCAUAAUGUCUACGGACCAAAGGGGGCUUCGGCUCUCGCCUUAUGAUCGGCCCAAGUGGGAUUAGCUAGUUGGUAAGGUAAUGGCUUACCAAGGCGACGAUCCCUAGCUGGUUUGAGAGGAUGAUCAGCCACACUGGAACUGAGACACGGUCCAGACUCCUACGGGAGGCAGCAGUGGGGAAUAUUGCACAAUGGGCGCAAGCCUGAUGCAGCCAUGCCGCGUGUGUGAAGAAGGCCUUAGGGUUGUAAAGCACUUUCAGUAAGGAGGAAAGGUUAGUAGUUAAUACCUGCUAGCUGUGACGUUACUUACAGAAGAAGCACCGGCUAACUCCGUGCCAGCAGCCGCGGUAAUACGGAGGGUGCGAGCGUUAAUCGGAAUUACUGGGCGUAAAGCGUACGCAGGCGGUUUGUUAAGCGAGAUGUGAAAGCCCCGGGCUCAACCUGGGAACUGCAUUUCGAACUGGCAAACUAGAGUGUGAUAGAGGGUGGUAGAAUUUCAGGUGUAGCGGUGAAAUGCGUAGAGAUCUGAAGGAAUACCGAUGGCGAAGGCAGCCACCUGGGUCAACACUGACGCUCAUGUAC
rnacentral:rRNA from 2 species